GCUGUGAUAGGUCAGUCGGUGAAGCGUGAGACUUUUAAUCUCAGGGUCAUGGCUUCGAGCCCUGGCUUGGGCG